UGUCCCCCUCCCUCGCCUCCCGCCCUCUCUCAUUUGCGCCUUCAAGCAGUCCGGGGGCGGAGGAGGCUUUUAAAACAAAACACAAAACAAGAUCUUACAGAGGCCGAGGCCCGCGGGAGCCGGAGCGCCGAGGGGUCUGCAGGAGGCGCCCCUCCGGCCGGCGGCGCCCCGGGCUCCCGCCUCCCCGCCCGCCGCACCUGGGCGUCCGCGGGGCGCGCGGCGAGGGCCUGGCGCCCUCUGCCGGGUCCCCGGGCCGCCCUCCGGGCCUCCACCUGCGGCCGCCGCGGAGCCGAACGCACGGGCAGGCCGGACCCUCCGCGGCGGCCUGCGGCAGCCGAGGUCCACAAGCGGCCGGCCUAGCCCCGGACUUGCGUUGGGAGGACUUCGCUGUUCCGCAGCUGGAAGCGACGCCAGGACUCGGUCGGGGAAAAGACCUGGACUCCAGACUGUUAAGAGGACCUCGUAUGCGCUCCUGGGGAGGAUACCGCGUCUGUACAUUGUAUCCUGUGUGCCGUUUUCUGGAGUGCUUUCCUAAAGACUUAUUUCAUUGGAUACCUGAUGAAAACCAAGGAAAUAGGAGCUGCUUCUUGCAGAAGGGAAGCAGACCUACAGUGAGUCAGGCACUGUACCAGGUAGAAGCGUCCCUGCUGUCUCCUUUUCCUCUGCCCUGCUGCUUGGAACAUGGUAUGACAUUUGGAUCUCUAUCUUGGCUCAUGAGGAAGAAGAGCACAGUCUGGAGACGGUGGAGCAGAG
rnacentral:lncRNA from 1 species